GAUUCUUUUCUGUAUUCACUCAUUUUCCUUUCAGAGGUCACCUUUGGUCACCUAGUGCACUUUAUAUAGGCAGCCUGGAGCCAUUUAGGACGCGCUGAAGUGAACUACGGUUUUCUCGAAUAUUCUCUUUAACUAGCCUUAACUGUUUCGGUCCAGCUGACAUCACUGACUUAAACCAGCAUCAGGAUCCGGAUGGAGUCGGGGUGAAAGACGUCCUGCGUGAACCGUCGCAGCUGUCUUACGAGAGGAAGUCUGAAAGAACCGACGCUCUCCAUGCAGAUAACCAGAACGCCUCUCUUCUAACAGUCACGUCUACGAUAUGAAGGAAAAGGAGGAUCGCGAUGUCAGAUCAACCCCUUGAUUCUAACACGUCUGGGAGGCGUCUUGCGGUUGGCAGGGAGAGGAUUAGUCGUAAAUCAGCUUCCCGAAGGAUAAAAUGAAACUGGGCAAAGGAAAAGAAAUCGGAGAAUUCGUUCAGAAAGCAUUACGCCAGCGACUGCAUCAUCGCGCUGCAUCCAACUCACGACACUCGACACAACAGCUGCCUUUU